rnacentral:tRNA from 1 species
AGGUGGCGGAAUUGGUAGACGCGCUAGCUUCAGGUGUUAGUGUUCUUACGGACGUGGGGGUUCAAGUCCCCCCCU